rnacentral:rRNA from 1 species
AGCAGCCGCGGUAAUUCCAGCUCCAAUAGCGUAUAUUAAAGUUGUUGCAGUUAAAAAGCUCGUAGUUGAAUUUCGGGAUCAGUACGCUGGUCGUGCCUUUGGUAUGUACUGGUGUCACUGAUUCCUCCCUUCUGAAGAACCGUUAUGCCAUUUAUUUGGUGUGGCGGGGAAUCAGGACUGUUACUUUAGAAAAAAUUAGAGUGUUUAAAGCAGGCUCGCGCUUGAAUACAUUAGCAUGGAAUAAUAGAAAUAGGACGUUUGAUUCUUAUUUUGUUGGUUUCUAGGAUCGACGUAAUGAUUAA